rnacentral:rRNA from 1 species
CCUACGGGUGGCAGCAGUGAGGAAUAUUGGUCAAUGGGCGCGAGCCUGAACCAGCGAAGUAGCGUGAAGGAUGACUGACCUACGGGGUGUAAACUGUUUUGAUAAAGGAAUAAAGUGAGGAACGGGUGCCAUGAUGGAUGUCAUUAAUGAAUCAGGAACGGUGAACUCCGUGCAAGGAGCCUCGGUAAUACGGAGGAUCCGAGGGUUAUCCGGAUUUAUUGGGUGAAAGGGGAGAGUGGGCGGAGGUGCAAGGCAGCGGUCAAAUUGCGGGGCUCAACCCCGUACUGCCGUUGAAACUGCAUCCCUUGAGUGCGCGAGAGGUAUGCGGAAUGCGUGGUGUAGCGGUGAAAUGCAUAGAUAUCACGCAGAACUCCGAGUGCGAAGGCAGCAUACCGGCGCGCAACUGACGCUCAUGCACGAAAGCGUGGGUAUCGAACAGGAUUAGAUACCCUUGUAGUU